GGGAAGGUAGCUCAGUGAUAGAGUGCUUGCCUGGCAUGCAUGAGGCCCUAGGUUCGAUUCCUCAGCAUCACA
rfam:Dipodomys ordii contig_55402, whole genome shotgun sequence.